GCCCUUCCGGAACACAGUACUGGCCUCAGCCAGCCCACGGCCAGCUCAGGCAAGGUACCUGGCACGCGUGGCUUCUCACAGUUUGGGAAGAUACAGCCCAGUGACCCCACGCCCAGCACCGUGGCCUGGAGGUGCACCCACAACCCCCAACACAGAGCCACAUGUCUUAGUCUGAGCACGCCAAGACCUCAACUUCUCAGUUUUCUGAUCCAGAACCACAGAACUGAAAGCCCACAGGGUCGUCUAGCCCCUGCCCAUGACAUCUUGGACUACGUAAUGGCACAGGGGAACCACCAAUCUUAGAUUUUGAUUUUCCAGGCCAUCUGUGUUCUGGGCACGUAGUAGGCCCUCCAUCAUGACUUGCCAAGUGUAUGAAUGAGCCAGGCCUCCCCAUCUGGCCCGAUGACAAGCUAGCUUGUCCCGCAGUUCAUGGUUCCCAUCCAGGCAGCUGCUUCUCUUGACUUCACCAGAGCAGACAACCCAUCGCUCAGCCACAGGUUGGUGGGGCUGGGACAAGUGUCUGGUGGUGGUGGUCGGUGGCCCUGGGCUUUGAGGAUUGGACACAGCCCCUGAGCUGAUGAAGAAGCAAUUUUGCACGGAAGCUUCUUUCUGGAGCCAUCAGAAGGGAAGAUGCCACGCUCGGCGCACUCCAGAGCUGGAACGCUGUAGGGACCAACAGCCCAGACCCUGCUUUGGUUGCAUUUCAGGCUAGAAGACAUUCCUUCUUGUUUGGCAGCAGCCCUUGGAUGUGACUUUUAGUAUGCUCAUUGCCGUGUCAUUGAUUUGUCCCCCUGAGCAGUGGAGAGAAUCGUCAAGUUCUGGGACAGUCAGGCUGUUGGGAAAAUCAUGAAAUUUGCCCCACAGUUGGUCUUUCAAAACCCUGGUAUCUUUUAAUCAAAUGUGAAC